rnacentral:rRNA from 1 species
CAGCCGUAAACUAUGCGCGUUAGGUGUACUGGUGACCACGAGUCACCGGGGUGCCGAAGGGAAACCGUGAAACGUGCCGCCUGGGAAGUACGGCCGCAAGGCUGAAACUUAAAGGAAUUGGCGGGGGGAGGCACCACAACGGGUGGGAGCCUGCGGUUUAAUUGGACUCAACGCCGGAAAUACUCACCGGAUAGGACAGACAUAUGAUAGUCGGGCUGAAGACUCUACUUGAUGAUCUGAGAGGUGGUGCAUGGCGUAGUCGUGU